AUUGAACGCUGGCGGCAGGCUUAACACAUGCAAGUCGAGCGGGGGAAGGUAGCUUGCUACCGGACCUAGCGGCGGACGGGUGAGUAAUGCUUAGGAAUCUGCCUAUUAGUGGGGGACAACAUCUCGAAAGGGAUGCUAAUACCGCAUACGUCCUACGGGAGAAAGCAGGGGAUCUUCGGACCUUGCGCUAAUAGAUGAGCCUAAGUCGGAUUAGCUAGUUGGUGGGGUAAAGGCCUACCAAGGCGACGAUCUGUAGCGGGUCUGAGAGGAUGAUCCGCCACACUGGGACUGAGACACGGCCCAGACUCCUACGGGAGGCAGCAGUGGGGAAUAUUGGACAAAGGGGGGAACCCUGAUCCAGCCAUGCCGCGUGUGUGAAGAAGGCCUUAUGGUUGUAAAGCACUUUAAGCGAGGAGGAGGCUACUUUAGUUAAUACCUAGAGAUAGUGGACGUUACUCGCAGAAUAAGCACCGGCUAACUCUGU
rnacentral:rRNA from 1 species